GAUGAACGCUGGCGGCGUGCCUAAUACAUGCAAGUCGAGCGAACAGACGAGGAGCUUGCUCCUCUGACGUUAGCGGCGGACGGGUGAGUAACACGUGGAUAACCUACCUAUAAGACUGGGAUAACUUCGGGAAACCGGAGCUAAUACCGGAUAAUAUAUUGAACCGCAUGGUUCAAUAGUGAAAGACGGUUUUGCUGUCACUUAUAGAUGGAUCCGCGCCGCAUUAGCUAGUUGGUAAGGUAACGGCUUACCAAGGCGACGAUGCGUAGCCGACCUGAGAGGAGGACGAGCACCACGGGGAGGGAGACCCGGCACAGACUCAUACGGGAGGCAGCAGUGGGGAAUCGUGCGCAAUGGGCGAAAGACUGAAGCAGCCAGGCAGCGUGAAUGAGGAAGGUCGUAGGAAUGUAAAAUGCUUUCAGCGGGGACGAUAAUGACGGUACCCGCAGAAGAAGCUCCGGCUAACUUCGUG
rnacentral:rRNA from 1 species